UGACAACACAUUGAGUUAUCUUCAGUGUCUCAGUAAAGACUGAAGAUGAAACAUUGUGGGAUAAUAAAUUUGUUGGUUUAUAUUGCUAAUUGUCUUUUAAGAGUAUUUGAGAGUGAUCUACAGACUUCAGGUAAAUUAUUUAAAUAGCGAGAGUCACUUUGCAUCGUCAGCACAUGCUUCAGUGCUCUGAGAGUGUUUAUAGUGCUGCGAGUUUAACACUUCAUGACUGACACUGUUUAUCAUUAUAACAGACACAGUGACUACAAUGACAUUCUUCAUCUUGAUUUUGAUUUUAGGGAUGUAUUUUCAAGAUUCUGCAGGACAGGUGACUGUAAUUCAGACUCCAACAGAGAAACAUGUUCAGAACGGACAAACAGUCGCUCUGACCUGUAAAACCAGCAGCGCCAUUGGAGACCUGUCAAAUGGUUGGUGUAAGAACUGUUUCUCUUGGUACUUACAGAAACCUGGAGAAGCUCCUAAACUUGUAGUGUACUACAUUAAUACCCUUCAUACUGGAACUCCAUCAAGAUUCAGAGGAAAUGGAGCCGAUCAUGGAACUGAUUUCAGUCUGACCAUCAGCGGAGUCCAGACUGAAGAUACAGGAGAUUAUUACUGUAUGGCUAUAAACUGGAUCAGUAAUAGCUGGGUGUUCACACAGUGAUAAAGAGUCAUACAAAAACCUCCGUCAGUCAGAGUCACAGUGACUGCACUGAUACAGCUGAGAGAUACUGCAGCUGCUCUACAACACAAUCACACACAACACUGAUCAACACAAACACUAAUAACACAAAAUAAAUAGAUGGUGAAGUUUAUUGUAAAAAAAAGUUAAUGUUGGCUUGACAAAAGCUUGUCUGAACGUAAGACAACUUUAGUUUAGAAGGUUUUACUGUCAGAAAAAGUGAGAUAGUUAGACAGACCAUCAAAAAAUUAGGCCCUGUUACAAAUAUUACAGCCCAUUAAAUCAAAUUAGACAACAUCAAACCACAUUAGAUAUGGAAGGUAAAACUAUGUGGUUGCUUCUUUG